ensembl:lncRNA
UCUCCAGGGGCAACACUUUUAUGGUCUAAGUUCUACAGGCUGAAGAUUGUUUGUUCCAGCAUCAUCUGUGGACCGGGGCUGUGAUCCUACACAGGAGCGGUGGCAGUGCUAGCUCCAUCAAAGGAUUCCAGCUCAAUGAAGUGAACACUGGUGUUUCCAUAUUCCUUAAGAGACUCGGAAGUUAAGUUACCUGUCCAGUGCUACACAGCAGAAAGUAGCAGGGCCAGGACUUCAACACAUGUGGGAUCUUAGCUCUCUUGACCAAGGAUUGAACCUACAUCCUCUUCAUUGGAAGUCAAAGUCUUAACUACUGGACUGCCAGAGAAGUCCUGCUUUGCCCACUUUUAAUAAGAGUUUAAUUUCCAGGAAUAAUAAGAUUUAUCACCAUGGAACUGAUCCCACCACUUCCUGGUUUGUGGUUCCCUGGACUUUUGGGGUAGAGGACAGAGGAGGGAUCCAGCAGAGGGGGAAGACGGGUGCAUCAUGCUGAGAGGAGGCUUCUGGUGAGACAGAGACUGUGAAGCCCCAGAGGAGGAAACGGGUGAGGAGAUAGCCUUUCAAGCUGACCUGGACUUGGGACAGUCCUCUCUUCAGCUCCAGGCUGUGCCUAUCCUCCACUUCUUCAAGAUAACCUAUAGUCAUGCUUGUUCAUUUCAACUGAAAUUAUCCAAACCAGCUAGUGAAAUGGAAAAGAUUCUACUUCUUGAAUUCUUCUGAAGUUUGUCUUGUCCAUGGAAAUGCUUCUGGGUGGGAAUUUGGAGAACGCCUAUUGAAAAUAUUCACCACUGUACACCUUCCAUAGAAAUUAUACAUUGGCAUUUCUGUAAUUAGUAUAUCAGCAAAGACAUCAGAAGGCGACACAUAAAAGGAACACACAAUUAGUAUUUGGGAAAAGCAGUGCCACCUGCCACUUUGGGGGUCUUUUUGUGUGUAGUAUACCUAGUAUGUUUUACAGGCACUCAAAGUCACCUUUAAAUGCAGUUCUGACAAAUUUCAGUGUUUUCAGCCAUAAACAAAUCAUAUUUUGUUCCCCUUCUUGUAUAUCAUAGCAUAUCAAGGCAGAACAACUUUCAGUGUGAAAUAAAAUGCCUUUCCUAUUUC